rnacentral:rRNA from 1 species
UACGUAGGAUGCAAGCGUUGUCCGGAAUUAUUGGGCGUAAAGAGCGCGCAGGCGGUCUAUCAAGUCAGAUGUGAAAUAUCCAGGCUUAACCUGGAGGGGUCAUUUGAAACUGGUAGACUAGAGUACAGCAGAGGAUAGUGGAAUUCCCGGUGUAGUGGUGAAAUGCGUAGAUAUCGGGAGGAACACCAGUGGCGAAGGCGAUCAUCUGGGGCUGUUCUGACGCUGAGGAGCGAAAGCUAGGGGAGCAAACGGG